CACGUAGGGCGCAAGCGUUGUCCGGAAUUAUUGGGCGUAAAGAGCUCGUAGGCGGUCUGUUGCGUCCGCUGUGAAAACUCGGGGCUUAACCCCGAGCCUGCAGUGGAUACGGGCAGACUAGAGGUAGGUAGGGGAGAAUGGAAUUCCCGGUGUAGCGGUGAAAUGCGCAGAUAUCGGGAGGAACACCGGUGGCGAAGGCGGGUCGACUGGGCCGAUACGUGACGCUGAGAGCGAAAGCGUGGGGAGCGAACAGG
rnacentral:rRNA from 1 species